UGUGUGUUCAGGGUUCAGUGUGUGUUCAGGGUGGGUUCGGUGUGUGUUCAGGGUGUGUUCGGUGUGUGUUCAGGGUUCAGUGUGUGGCCAGGGUUCAGUGUGUGUUCAGGGUUCAGUGUGUGUCCAGGGUUCAGUGUGUGGCCAGGGUUCAGUGUGUGGCCAGGGUUCAGUGUGUGGCCAGGGUUCAGUGUGUGGCCAGGGUUCAGUGUGUGGCCAGGGUUCAGUGUGUGGCCAGGGUUCAGUGUGUGGCCAGGGUUCAGUGUGUGGCCAGGGUUCAGUGUGUGGCCAGGGUUCAGUGUGUGGCCAGGGUUCAGUGUGUGGCCAGGGUUCAGUGUGUGGCCAGGGUUCAGUGUGUGGCCAGGGUUCAGUGUGUGGCCAGGGUUCGGUGUGUGGCCAGGGUUCGGUGUGUGGCCAGGGUUCAGU